rnacentral:rRNA from 1 species
UAAUACCAGCAGCCCUAGUGGUGAUCGUUUUUAUUGGGCCUAAAGCGUCCGUAGCCGGUUUGGUAAACCCUUGGGUAAAUCGAGCAGCUUAACUGUUCGAAUUCUGAGGAGACUGCCAGACUUGGGACCGGGAGAAGUUGGAAGUACUUUUGGGGUAGGGGUGAAAUCCUGUAAUCCCAAAAGGACUACCGGUGGCGAAGGCGUCCAACUAGAACGGGUUCGACGGUAAGGGACGAAGCCCUGGGUCACGAACCGGAUUAGAUACCCGGGUAGUCCAGGGUGUAAACGCUGCAGGCUUGGUGUUGGGGGUCCUACGUGGGCGUCCAGUGCCGAAGAGAAGUUGUUAAGCCUGCCGCCUGGGGAGUACGAUCGCAAGAUUG